rnacentral:lncRNA from 1 species
UUGAAAUUAAAGAGAUGGGGAGGAGAUGAAGAGACUAAUCCUAAGCAUAAAUUAAAAGUUAAGAGUUGAAAAGAUCUGACCAAUGGGUUGCAAUCCAAUAGACAAGAAUGUCAUAUAGAAACCCAAAUUCCCUUGGACAUUAUAAUCAAGCAACAAACAAGGCACGCAAUAUUAACUUGAAGAGCAAGGCAUCAAAUAAAGAUAGCCACAUCCAAGCUUAGCCAUUCCAUGAUCUUCU